AUUGAACGCUGGCGGCAGGCCUAACACAUGCAAGUCGAGCGAGCGGCGGACGGGUGAGUAAUGUCUGGUAAACUGCCUGAUGGAGGGGGAUCACUACUGGAAACGGUAUCUAAUACCGCAUACCAUCAGAUGUGCCCAGAUGGGAUUAGCUAGUAGGUGGGGUAACGGCUCACCUAGGCGACGAUCCAUAGCUGGUCUGAGAGGAUCACCAGCCACACUGGAACUGAGACACGGUCCAGACUCCUACGGGAGGCAGAAGUGGGGAAUAUUGCACAAUGGGCGCAAGCCUGAUGCAGCCAUGCCGCGUGUGUGAAGAAGGCCUUCGGGUUGUAAAGCACUUUCAGCGGGGAGGCGUUACCCGCAGAAGAAGCACCGGCUAACUCCGUGCCAGCAGCCGCGGUAAUUC
rnacentral:rRNA from 1 species